rfam:Lupinus angustifolius cultivar Tanjil chromosome LG09, whole genome shotgun sequence.
AUGUGGCUUAGUUAUGGGGCACACAUCAAUCGAAACCAAAUUAGUUUGGUUCCUUUUGAAGACUCAAGAGAGAGGCCUCUUGAAGGUGGACUAUUCUAUUCUCAUAUAAGUUGUCCCCCAAGCAGCCUUUGACAUUA